rnacentral:rRNA from 1 species
UACGAAGGGGGCUAGCGUUGCUCGGAAUCACUGGGCGUAAAGCGCACGUAGGCGGAUCUUUAAGUCAGGGGUGAAAUCCUGGAGCUCAACUCCAGAACUGCCUUUGAUACUGGGGAUCUCGAGUCCGGAAGAGGUGAGUGGAACUCCGAGUGUAGAGGUGAAAUUCGUAGAUAUUCGGAAGAACACCAGUGGCGAAAGCGGCUACCUGGCCCAUUCUUGACGCUGAGGCGCGAAAGCUAGGGGAGCAAACGGGG